GAGGAGCUUGCUCCUCUGGAUCAGUGGCGAACGGGUGAGUAACACGUGAGCAAUCUGCCCCUCACUCUGGGAUAAGCGCUGGAAACGGCGUCUAAUACCGGAUACGACGCGCGAAGGCAUCUUCUGCGCGUGGAAAGAACUUCGGUGAGGGAUGAGCUCGCGGCCUAUCAGCUAGUUGGUGAGGUAACGGCCCACCAAGGCGACGACGGGUAGCCGGCCUGAGAGGGUGACCGGCCACACUGGGACUGAGACACGGCCCAGACUCCUACGGGAGGCAGCAGUGGGGAAUAUUGCACAAUGGGCGCAAGCCUGAUGCAGCAACGCCGCGUGAGGGAUGACGGCCUUCGGGUUGUAAACCUCUUUUAGCAGGGAAGAAGCGAAAGUGACGGUACCUGCAGAAAAAGCACCGGCUAACUACGUGCCAGCAGCCGCGGUAAUACGUAGGGUGCAAGCGUUGUCCGGAAUUAUUGGGCGUAAAGAGCUCGUAGGCGGUUUGUCGCGUCUGCUGUGAAAACCCGAGGCUCAACCUCGGGCCUGCAGUGGGUACGGGCAGACUAGAGUGCGGUAGGGGAGAUUGGAAUUCCUGGUGUAGCGGUGGAAUGCGCAGAUAUCAGGAGGAACACCGAUGGCGAAGGCAGAUCUCUGGGCCGUAACUGACGCUGAGGAGCGAAAGCGUGGGGAGCGAACAGGAUUAGAUACCCUGGUAGUCCACGCCGUAAACGUUGGGCGCUAGAUGUAGGGACCAUUCCACGGUUUCUGUGUCGCAGCUAACGCAUUAAGCGCCCCGCCU
rnacentral:rRNA from 1 species